rnacentral:rRNA from 1 species
UAGGGAAUUUUCGGCAAUGGGGGGAACCCUGACCGAGCAAUGCCGCGUGAACGAAGAAGGUCUUCGGAUUGUAAAGUUCUUUUAUUGGGAAAGAAAGAUAUGGUGAGGAAAUGCGCUAUAUUUGACGGUACCCAUUGAAUAAGCCCCGGCUAACUACGUGCCAGCAGCCGCGGUAAUACGUAGGGGGCGAGCGUUAUCCGGAAUUAUUGGGCGUAAAGCGUGCGUAGGCGGAAUGUUAAGUCAUUUGUAAAAGAUCUCAGCCCAACUGAGUAGGGCGAAUGAAACUGGCAAUCUUGAAUACGGUAGAGGUAAGUGGAAUUCCAUGUGUAGCGGUGGAAUGCGUAGAUAUAUGGAGGAACACCAAUGGCGAAGGCAGCUUACUGGGCCGGAAUUGACGCUGAGGCACGAAAGCGUGGGGAGCAAACA